GAGAGCAAGAGAGGUACUAAUGUGCUGGAAUUUCCCUUUGGAUGGCAUGUGGCAACAUCAUGAUAGGACAUAGUCAAGAUGGGUAGUGUCCCUUGGUCAUAUGGACAAUCAAUAUUCAAAAUGGUAAAAGAACUGUGCCAGGGAGUCUAUGGCUUUCAACUGAAGUUCUCAAAUCUGGACCAUCCUUUCUUCCAUUGGCUAAGGUGUCACCUAUUGGAUUAAUUGCAUGGAAAAUGUCAUUUAUGUACCCAUAAGAUCACAGCCAUGAUCACUACUCACAACAUGAAUCAAGUGCUUAUAAUUUAUAGCUAUGUACGAAUUUAGGUAAUUUAUGAGAUUGGGUAAUUUUAGUUUUCCUCUGCAUUAGUUGAUCAAUAGAAAUUCAGUGAUUAACAUCAAGAGAAUGGCCAUGUUUACGAUGUAGAAUGUAUGGCAAAAAAUUGGUAUGCUGCAAAAGAAGGAACAUAGCAGAGAAUGAUGUUGAAGCAAGUUUGAACGAUUCUGAACCUGAACUUGUCACCAAACGCAGAGUUCUUCGAUCUCGAUAUCUCGCUGUUCAGACCCUAAUUUCUGAUGAGAGAGAUGAUUUAUCAAGGGUUGAUUCGGACAAGUUCAAUUCGAUUAUCAAUGAACGAUUCUGGUAAUUAACUUUCCUCUUGACAAUAUUGCUUUCUUUAAUUUGGUUUUUAGUAUAGAAACCUAGAGAACAAGCUGCAGAUGCUGAAGCUCUGUUGAACAUCACAAACACGUUGGUUACAUCUGUUAAAGCACACAGUCAAGAAGGAAUUACCCCUUUUAGACUUUGUAAACUGUCUGCUCAGAGAUUUCGGGUGACAAGGUCGGGCAAGUACCAGCGCAGAGGAUGGUCUUGAGGAUGGCAAUAUCCCAUUUGGUUCAGUGGAAGCUAGUGGCCGGUCAACGGUGAACCUUGAAAGAUCUUUAGAUCAUGAUGGUGACCCGCUUGCCAU